GGGCGGGAGUGGGGGCGGCGGGGACAGCUGCGGGUGGGUAAGGGUUCGCGGACGGGGCGGGGGAGACGGAGACGGCGGUGGCUCGGCCCUUGGGCCGCAACUUGGGCCCCGCUCCAGGCUGAGGGGACGCAGGCCCCGCGGCGACGGCGGGAGGGCCAGGGCUGGGCCCCCAACCCGCGGGACCCUGCCUUGGCCCUGCCGGCCACCUGGGCCUAGUCCCCGCCGGCCACCUGGGCCUAGUCCCCGACGCGCCCCUGCCGCCCACUAGAGGGCCGAGGUGUUGCCCCCGCGGACGACGGGCGCCUCGCAGGCCCAGCCAGUCCUCUCCGUCGAGAAUCUUUUUCUGCCCCCAGGCGUGGGCAUGGCUGUGAUCCCAACACUCUGGGAGGCUGAGACAGGAAGAUCACAAGUUUUGAGUUUCAUCAGGGCAACUUGACUGUGCUGGGCACAGAAGCAGCCAAGAACUGAAGAAGGGGAAGUUCAUGUGUAAACAAGGCAAAGCGGCUGGAGGGAAGACUGGGAUGACCUGGACCUGACAUCAGCCUGAGAUGUAGGAUCCCAACACUGCCUUUCAGAACCCGUAUGUAGAAGAUCUCUCGUGUUUUCUCGAGAUUUGGACAUACAAAAGGACAGACACCAAGAAGAGCUUGCUAUCAUGGCUUUCCUCACAAUAGUCUGCCCUGUGCCCUCCAGGGUAUACUUUUAUUUUGCUUUUUCCUCCUUUACUUGGCCCAAGCUGGCUCUGCAGAGCCAGUUUCUCCCUCACUCUUCACU
rnacentral:lncRNA from 1 species